UACGGGGGGGGUAAGCGUUGUUCGGAAUUACUGGGCGUAAAGGGCUCGUAGGCGGCCAACUAAGUCAGACGUGAAAUCCCUCAGCUUAACUGGGGAACUGCGUCUGAUACUGGAUGGCUUGGAUUCGGGAGAGGAAUGCGGAAUUCCAGGUGUAGCGGUGAAAUGCGUAGAUAUCUGGAGGAACACCGGUGGCGAAGGCGACUAACUGGACCGAUAUUGACGCUGAGGCACGAAAGCGUGGGUAGCAAACAGG
rnacentral:rRNA from 1 species